rnacentral:rRNA from 1 species
UACGUAGGGUCCGAGCGUUUGUCCGGAAUUACUGGGCGUAAAGAGCUCGUAGGUGGUUUGUCGCGUUGUCCGUGAAAACUCACAACUCAAUUGUGGGCGUGCGGGCGAUACGGGCAGACUGGAGUACUGCAGGGGAGACUGGAAUUCCUGGUGUAGCGGUGGAAUGCGCAGAUAUCAGGAGGAACACCGGUGGCGAAGGCGGGGUCUCUGGGCAGUAACUGACGCUGAGGAGCGAAAGCGUGGGGGAGCGAACAGG